rnacentral:siRNA from 1 species
GUUGGUGGAGCGAUUUGUCUG